rnacentral:rRNA from 1 species
AUUGAACGCUGGCGGAAUGCUUUACACAUGCAAGUCGAACGGCAGCACGGACUUCGGUCUGGUGGCGAGUGGCGAACGGGUGAGUAAUGUAUCGGAACGUGCCCAGUCGUGGGGGAUAACGUAGUGAAAAUUACGCUAAUACCGCAUACGAUCUAUGGAUGAAAGCGGGGGAUCGCAAGACCUCGCGCGCAUGGAGCGGCCGAUAUCAGAUUAGGUAGUUGGUGGGGUAAAGGCCCACCAAGCCAACGAUCUGUAGCUGGUCUGAGAGGACGACCAGCCACACUGGAACUGAGACACGGUCCAGACUCCUACGGGAGGCAGCAGUGGGGAAUUUUGGACAAUGGGCGAAAGCCUGAUCCAGCCAUUCCGCGUGCAGGAUAAAGGCCCUCGGGUUGUAAACUGCUUUUGUACAGAACGAAAAGGUUUCUACUAAUACUAGGAGCUCAUGACGGUACUGUAAGAAUAAGCACCGGCUAACUACGUGCCAGCAGCCGCGGUAA